UUAAAUGUACAGGGUGUGACAGCAGGGAAAGGGCUCCUUAAAAAAGAUCUGCAAGAAGCCAAAAGGAGAAUGAAUGAAUGAAUCCUACAGGUAAAAAGACAGUACAAAGAAAAAAGCCCUAUCAAUUACCCCAAGGCCAAAGUGAGAAAGAAAAUGAGUCUGAUGCAUUGUAGAUCGCAUGGGAAGGACACACUCAGCCAUCACUAUGAUUACUAGUAUCAAAGGAAUGAAUGGUGAGUAUCACAAGCAGCAGUAAAAAUGUUUGGGUUGAUUCAUGUUUUGAAGUGAUCUUCAGGAGGGGUAAAUGGGUGGUAAAACCCAUUUUAAGGAACAUGUUCUUUUGUGAAACUACCCCAGCUUUUGUAGAACCUCUCUUCACGUGAGCCAAAUUAAAAAUAUAAAGCAACCAAAAUAAGGAAGCUUCUAGUUCCUGCUCGUCCGCAUUUUUUCUGCCUCUGGCUGAGAAAGCUGAAAUUUUGUGUUGCAAUUACAGUUUUUCCCCUUUUGGCGUGUCCUUGUGGCUCUGUUGACAGCCCACAGCCGCCCCGACCUUACACGAUGGUUUCAGUUCACAUGGUAACACAAAGAGCAAUUCCGACAUCUGCCCCAGUCCUCUGCCACGGAUGGGAGUCGCUACUCAAAGCACCCAUGACCGGACCCACCAGUCAGCUUCCGUUCUUCCGUCAACAGCUACUAAGACCAGACAACCAAGGUUUUGGACCACCUCAAUUAUUUGUGUACAUAUACAAAAGAUGCUCCUUUCCUCUCCACAUUCAUUUAAGAAAUGUUUAAAAGAUUAUAGUCCUAGGGGCGCCUGGGUGGCUCAGUCGGUUAAGCGGCCAGCUUCGGCUCAGGUCAUGAUCUCGCAGUCCAUGAGUUCGAGCCCCGCGUCGGGCUCUGUGCUGACAGCUCAGAGCCUGGAGCCUGUUUCAGAUUCUGUGUCUCCCUCUCUCUGACCCUCCCCCGUUCAUGCUCUGUCUCUCUCUGUCUCAAAAAUAAAUAAACGUUAAAAAAAAAAAAAAAAAAAGAUUAUAGUCCUAGCUUUAGAACUCCUAAAAACUAGGAUCAGGUAGGUAGUGCCUCAGGAAUUAUAAAAACCUCAUUAGUUUCCUGGGGAAUAGAACCUUUGAAGCAAUAUAAAAAUCAUUCCUUCAGGCAAAAAUCACUUCAUGGGGCCCUUGGUUUCAUUGAUUGCCAUCCACGCCGUGGCAGAAAAUGCUAAAGGGGAGCCUGGGUGGUUCAGUUGGUUGAGCAUCCAACUUCAGCUCAGGUCGUGAUCUCACAGUUCAUGAGUUCAAGCCCCACAUGAAGCUUGCUGCUGUCAGCACAGAGCCCGCUUCUGAUCUUCUGUCUCCCUCUCUCUGCCCCUCCCCCGCUCAUGCUCGCUCGCUCGCUCUCUCUCUCUCUCUCUCCCAAAAAUAAACAUGUUUUAAAAAAGGAAAGAAACUGCUAAAGAUGCUAAAAUGCUACAGCUAUUUCUUGUGGCUAGACUCCUCCGUUUCCAUUUCAGAUGGCAAUAUGAACUCAAAGGUUUACUGGUAUAUGACAAUGAUUCAUACCUGGCCAAAUGACAUUUCAGAUUAAUCUUCUUAAAUUGCAUUUCAAAGUCAGAUGCAGGAAAAGCCAAAUGCUCUUAAACUGGCAUUCUAAAAAUAAUAGUUCCAUUGACGUCAACUCUAUUGACGUUGCUUAAAAGAUACAUAACUGAG